AGGGGACGGGGGCGGGGAGCAGGGUGAGGGCUCCAGCAUGGCAGGCUGCAGGUCCCGAGCCCUGCCCCCUUGCCCCGCGGGGAGGUGGCUGAGGCCCAGCGAAAAUUCGAGCGCGGCGCCGGCGGGCCAUCACUGUUGGAGGACCCAGUGCACCCUCCGCAGCUGCUGGCCCGGGUGGUAAGCCUCUCACUGCCCAGGGCCGGCGGCGCCAGCCGACCGCUCAGAGUGCGGGGCGCGCCGAGCCCGCGCCCACCCGGAAGUCGCGCUGAGCCCGCGCCCACCCGGAAGUCGCGCUGAGCCCGCGCCCACCCGGAAGUCGCGCUGGACCUGCGAGCACCGCAGGCAGCCCAGGUUCCGGCCCGCGCCGCUCCCUCCACACCUCCCCGCCAGCAGAGGGAGCCCGCUCAGGCCUCAGCCAGCACAGAGAGGGGCUCCCACGGUGCAGCUGCGGGCUGAAGGGCUCCUCAAGCGCGGCCAGAGUGGGCUGAGGCCGAGGAGGCGCCGAGAGCCAGCGAGGGAUGCCAGCAAGCUGUCACCUCUCAGAAAUACAGGAAGAACAUCAAUAAUGUUCGAAGUUAUAAAUUGCAGAGGUCAGAGGUCAGAAAACAAGGUGUCUGCAGGACCAACCUCUCCUCUGGAUGCUCUAGGUGUUGAAAUUUCCAGGAUGCAAAACGAAGGGGCAAUUCAAAACAUUCAUCUCCACUUCUCAAAAAGAUGAGGUUUCACCGUGUUAGCCAGGAUGGUCUCGAUCUCCUGACUUCAUGAUCCGCCUGUCUCGGCCUCCCAAAGUGCUGGGAUUACUGGCGCAAGCCACCGCGCCCGGCCGGAUCUUCAAAAAACAAAAUCGGCCAGCGAUUUUAAUAGUUCCAGUAAAGGUUUGAGCAGAGAAGUGGACUUUCUUCUUUUCCUCUUUUCAACUACUCCUAAGGACUCCUGGAGAAGAAAGAGCAAAUAUCUCUGCAUCUCAAUUUCUGGUCCGCAGGUAACCCAGUCUCAGUAGCUUGGUAGUUACCAUGGCUCCCAGUGCUGUGCGUCUGACGUCAUUCUGCGGCGCUGGCUGAUGGCGCAAUCAGUUCCGGCGUCCUGUGAGGGCGGGGAUGCUGGGAGGAGGGUGAAAUUUAGCCAUCGGUGUGUGGCAGGGUCAUGAAAAAGCGGCGGCGGCGGGAGAGAGGAGGAGGCGGCGGCGGGGCAGUGAAACUACGGUAGCUGCCCCCUGAGCUGGUGGUGUGGCUUUGUUGGGAGGGCGUAGUUCCUAAUCCCCUUUCCGGGCAGCCGCCGGGGCUCGGGGCUGUGAGCGGCCGUCAGGCUGCCUCCCCGGGCCCCCUGCCUCCGCCAUGUUCCGCAGGGCACGCCUUAGCGUGAAGCCGAAUGUCAGGCCUGGUGUAGGCACCAGGGGCUCCACAGCUUCCAAUCCCCAGCGUGGACGGGAGUCUCCCAGGCCGCCGGAGCCUGCCACGGACUCUGCUUCCAAGCCCGCGGAGCCCACAGAUGUGCCCACAGUCGAUUUCGGUGGAGCGGAGCCCCAAGAAAAGACUCCUAGGAGCAGUACUGAAAAGACUGGUGGUGACAAUGAUGUUGAAGAAUCCAGUAGAUCUUCCUCUACUGUUUCACAGAGAAGAAAGCGAAUAUCAAGUACUUCUAGUCUGGUUAAGUCUAGUGUCAGUGUUCCUUCAGAAUCUCAUCCCUUACCUACAAUUAAUCAAGAGGCUCCACAGCCAACUGCCACUUCAACAAAAGAGAAACAGCCAUGCUCAGACAGAUACCGAAUAUACAAAGCCCAGAAACUGAGGGAAAUGUUAAAAGAAGAAUUGAGAAAAGAGAAGAAACAAUGGAAAAACAAAUAUGCUAUAAAUGAAAGUCAGAGGCCACCAGAUCGUUCAAAAAUGACUAUGAGAGACUUCAUAUAUUAUCUACCAGAUAAUAAUCCAAUGACUUCUUCACUGGAACAAGAAAAGAAAACUGAAAAGCCAUCGACUCCAGUCCAGACAAGAGAGCAAGAAGGUAAGAGUACUCCUAAUGCUGAAGAUAAUGAAAUGGAAGAAGAGACAGAUGAUGGGCCAUUACUGGUUCCUCGAGUAAAAGUGGCAGAAGAUGGUUCCAUUAUUUUGGAUGAAGAAAGUUUAACUGUAGAAGUUUUAAGAACAAAAGGCCCUUGUGUUGUUGAAGAAAAUGACCCCAUAUUUGAGCGCGGUUCUACAACUACAUACUCCAGCUUUAGGAAAAACUAUUACUCUAAACCAUGGUCAAAUAAAGAAACAGAUAUGUUUUUUUUAGCCAUCAGCAUGGUAGGAACUGACUUUUCUAUGAUCGGACAACUUUUUCCUCACAGAGCAAGGAUAGAAAUUAAGAAUAAAUUUAAACGGGAAGAGAAAACAAAUGGAUGGAGAAUAGACAAAGCAUUCCAGGAAAAGCGCCCUUUUGACUUCGAUUUUUUUGCUCAUUUGCUUCAGAAAGUUCUUGCUGAAGAAGAGAAAAGAAAACAAAAAUCUGUUAAAAAUCACAGUUUAAAGGAGAAGAAAUCCACCAAACCACGGAAAAAUGUAAAAGUGAAAAAAGUUGCCUGUGAAGCCGUGAAUAAUGAUCCAGAUGAGUCUAUGAGUUCUAGAAUUUCAGACACAGAAAGAUCUCAGAAGGAUGCUCAGACAGUUGAAGAAGAGUCUCUGACCUUAUCAAGGGAGGAUGCAGAGCAGGUUGCAUUAGAAGUAGACCUAAAUCAAAAGAAAAGAAGGAGGAAGAAGCAAGAUGGAGCUAAUGAACUGGGAGUAAACAAUCUUUUAGAAAAUGCCACUGUUCAGGCGGGUCCUUCUAGAGGAGAAAAACACAAGAAUAAAUGUCAGGCUAUAAGGCCUGAGCUAAAGGAAGGUGAAUGCAGUAAGGAGCAGAUGCUUUCCUGCACACAAAACAUAGAUGGCAUUGUGGGUUUUGCCUCCACUGAAAAAGUUGAGAAAAGAACUGACCCCAUCCUUUCAUUAAGUAAUCAACAAGAUGCCACAUCAGUAGCAACUGAGUCUUCAGAAUCAAGCACUUCAGAUUUGCCUUCAUUCGAAGUUGGAAUUAGAGCAUUGUGUGAGGUGAAUAAUGCUGAGGGUAGUUGUAUAGAAGAAAGAAAUGUUGACCUAAAAAAUAAUUCACUGGAAAUUGAUCAAACAGAAAAUGUUAAACCAAUGUUGAGAGGUCGCUUCCAGAGACCUAAACCCAAUUUGUCAAGGGCUGGGAAGAAAUCAGUUCUUUCACAAGGCAAAACAGAGUCAGAGAGCAAGAAUUCACAUUCAAAAACUUCAGUUGAAAAGAACCACGUGGAAAAAGAUAAAAUGAAUACAUUGGACAUUUUGAGAAUGGAGACUGCAGAGAGAGAGAAUCCAGAAGCUGAAACUGUAUCUGUUUUGGGUGAAAAAAAUUGUCUGCAGGAAGGGAGUCAACUAAAGGCUUUAAGACCUGCACAAGUGAGGGGCCGAUUGCAAAAGCCAAAGCCAAAUGCAGGUAAAGCUGCCGAAAGAAAAGAAAUUCUCAUAUCACAGGAAGAAAUUGGGGCCAAUGUAGAGAAGAAUGAAAAUGAAUCCUGUGCUGAUAGAGAUACUCCUCAACACAUGGAAGAUCAAUCACGUAAAGAUUUUGAAGAGGAAGAUGUCAUAUUACAGCCUGAGAAAAAUGAUUCUUUUCAAAAUGUGCAGCCAGAUGAGCCCAAGGUUCUUAAUGAAUGUCUAAGCGUUCAAGAGAAUAAUAAGGCAAAUAAACUUAACCAAGUCCCAAUUCUAAGGACUCGAUUUCAGAAACCAAAGCCAAAUAUAGGAAGAGGAACUGGAAGGAGAGAAAUUUCCUCAAAGGAAGAGGUACUAGAGAAGAUUCUUGUCUCUGGGGAAAUGGUGGCAGCAUUGAGAGAAACCGUAAGACUAGACACCUCACCAAAGGAGAUGGUACCAGCAGAGAUUAAUACUAAAGAAAUGCAGUCAGAUUUAAAAGAAACUGGAAGAAGAGCCAUUUCUCCCAGGGAGAAGAUUCUAGAUGUGAUUGAUGUCACCAUGGAAAUGGAGACAGGUCUGAAAGCAAUGGGAAGAGAGAUUUGUCUAAGGGAGAAGACGCCAGAGGUGGUUGAUGCCACUGAGGAAAUAGACAAAGAUUUGGAAGAAGCUGGAAGAAGAGAAAUAUCCCCACAGAAAAAUGGCCCAGAGGAGGUUAAGCCUCUAGGUGAAAUGGAGACAGAUUUGAAAGCAACUGGAAAUGAGAGUUCCCCAAGGGAGAAGACACCAGAGAUGACUGAUGCCACUGAGGAAAUAGACAAAAAUUUGGAAGAAACUGGAAGAAGAAAAAUAUCCCCAAGGGAAAAUGGCCCAGAGGAGGUCAAGCCUGUAGAUGAAAUGGAGACAGAUUUGAACGCAACUGGAAGAGAGAGUUCUCCAAGGGAGAAGACACCAGAGGUGAUUGAUGCUACUGAGGAAAUAGAUUUGGAAGAAACUGAAAGAGAAGUAUCCCCACAGGAAAAUGGACUAGAGGAGGUCAAGCCUCUAGGUGAAAUGGAGACGGAUUUGAAAGCAACUGGAAGAGAGAGUUCCCCAAGGGGGAAGACACCAGAGGUGAUUGAUGCCAUUGAGGAAAUAGAGAUAGAUUUGGAAGAAACUGAAAGAGAAAUAUCCCCACAGGAAAAUGGCCUAGAGGAGGUUAAGCCUCUAGGUGAAAUGCAAACAGAUUUGAAAGCAACCGGAAGGGAGAUUUCCCCAAGGGAGAAGACACCAGAGGUGAUUGAUGCCACUGAGGAAAUAGACAAAGAUCUGGAAGAAACUGGAAGAAGAGAAAUAUCCCCAGAGGAAAAUGGCCCAGAGGGGGUCAAGCCUGUAGAUGAAAUGGAGACAGACUUGAAAGCAACUGGAAGAGAGAGUUCCCCAAGGGAGAAGACACGAGAGGUGAUUGAUGCUGCUGAGGUAAUAGAGACAGAUUUGGAAGAAACUGAAAGAGAAAUAUCGCCACAGGAAAAUGGCCCAGAGGAGGUCAAGCCUGUAGGUAAAAUGGAGACAGAUUUGAAAGAAAUUAGAGAAGAAAUUUCCCAAAGGGAAAAGGUGCUAGCAGAGAUCAGUGCUAUAAGGGAAAAGGAGAUUGAUUUGAAAGAAACUGGAAAAAGAGACAUUCCCAUGAUGGAGAAAGUAUCAGGAAAGAUGGCUGUUGUUGAAGAAAUGGAGGCAGAUUUGAAAGAAACUGGAAAAGAAAAUUUUAGAGAGAGAGGAUCUGAAGAGAUCUGUGUUACUGAGGAAAAGGUGGCAGAAUUGAAACAAACUGGAAAAACAGACAUUUCUCCAAGGGAAAACGAGCUAGAGGAGACCAGUACCUCAAGACAAACUGACACACAUUUAAUGCAGAGCGGUAGCAAUGACUGCAGUGCUAUGCCUUCACUAGAUAUUCAAAACAUUAGCAGUGAAGUACUGUCGAUGAUGCAUACACCUGUAGAAGAAAAAAGAAAUUCUGAAAAAGAAGUAUCAAGUCACUUCAGUCAUUUCAAGAUUUCUUCACAGACUCAUGAAUCUGAUAAAACAGAAGUCCAGGGGAUUCAAUCUCCAGAUGUUCCAGAGCAGUUUUCAGAUAUUAAUUUAAGCAAAUCUCUUCCUCAAGAACAGAAGCCACUUGAAAUUAAACCAGCACCUUUUGUGAGGAGCCGAUUCAAAAGACCAAAACCAAACUUAGCAAGAGCAGCUUUGAAGAGAGAGACUACAGAAUCAGAAAAAUAUAUAUAUGAGAAGAAAUCAGAAACCAAGAAAAUGGAGACUAUUGUGAUGCAAGAAAAUAAUGAACAAACCGAAACUCUCCCUUCUCAACAUGAUGAAGCUUCCCUAAUGAUAUCAAGAGAAAAAGACACAUCAGGUCACAGGAAUGAGGAGGCUGUGAUAUUGCCAUGUACACAGACUGAAAGGAACCUUUCACCUUCAAAUUCUUGUGAACCUAAAGAGGAGUCUCAGUCAGCACCAGUCCAGAAAAAUGACUCAGUUGUUUCUGUGGGGACUAAUAAUAUAAACACUUUCCAGCAAGAAAUGAAGGAAAGUGUUAUCCAAACUGCUCGACAAGUAAAGGGCCGACUUCAGAGACCGAGACCAAAUAUAAGAAAGACAGGACAGAGGCAAAUAGUAGACAAAGGUGAAGCCAAAGGCAUAAUUAAGGAAGGAAGAACGAUAUUAUCAAAAGAUGAAACCGAAAAGAAAGUCUUAACUGUGUCAGAUUCUCAAAUUGAAACUGAAAUUGAAGUUCCAUCCUCCGCAGUUCCAGAACACAGAAUGUAUGAAAAUCAAAGUCAGGUGGUUCUUGUAGAAAACCUUCAUGUUAACAAAACAAAUGAAACAAUCAGACAUGAAAAUAAACCGUAUGUUCCUAGUUCAGCACAAAUGACAAGAAGGAAAUUCCAAAAGGCUAAGCCAAAUUUGGGAAGAGCACACAGUAAGAAAGAGGAACCAGUUUUAGAAAAAGGCACAACAGAUCAGAGCAAGGAAGGCAAGCCAGAAGAUCAUUUGCUGCAGAAAGGAGCUUCCAACACCCAGCUCCUUCUAAAAGAAAAAGCUGAGCUUCUGACAUCUCUGGAGGUUUCAGCAAGAAAAGAUUGUGUAGGUUCCAAAGAGUCUGCUUUGGCAAAAAUAGAUGCGGAAUUAGAAGAAGUUGGACCAUCAAGAAGGGUUGGAGAGGAAACUGUAGGAGAUAAUUCACCAUCUUCAGUUGUUGAAGAGCAAUAUCUCAAUGAACUAGCAAGCUGUCCACAACCGUUAAAAGAAACAAGUUACUCUAAAAUUGCCCUGGAUGGGAAAACAACUAUCUCUUCUACAUCUGAGUAUGAGAGAAAUCGUGGUGAAAGGAGAAGUCAUAAAAAGAUCAAACCAAAUGUCACCAGAGGUCGUGGAUCAAAACGAGUUCGGGGUAAGACCCCUAAGAAGGAACCUAGAGCUUCCAAGGCCGUGCUGGUGACUCUUCGGGCUUCCCAGGAAGAAGAAGAUGAUGCUGACGAUUUUGAGUCUGACUAUGAAGAAGAAAGCUAUCAUCUUGCUCCCGAAGAAGUAAACAAAGCUCCAGUAUUUGUACCUGUUGGUCUCAGAUCUCCUGAACCUGUUUCUGCUCAGAUUGAGGAAACAAUGGAAGAGCUUGAAAUAACUGUGAAUGUCCCAGAUGUAGGAUGCAUAGCUGUUGUUGAACAUGAGCUACCAAACACAGAUGUGACUACUGAAGAAAUGAAACAAGAAGAAAAUUUGAGUGCACCGUUUGAAAUGACCACAAGUGAACAUAUCCAAGAUGAACCAGGUACCAAUGAUGGAAGCACCGAAGCUGCAAUAACUUUACUUACAAUGGGAGAUCUAGUAUUGCAGUCAGAGAUCAGUAGUGAACAGGGUGAUGUAGGAGUAUGUAUACUUCCUCAUGUUCAUUCAAAGGAUAAAAGCCAUAUUCCUUCUAGCCUAGAUAAUGUAAAUCACAAAAUUGUUCAUGAAUGUCAGGAACUUUCUUCACCUGUCAUUACUACAUCUCCUGCAUCAUUUGAAGAAAACAAGAUUGUAUUGGAGGAACAAAGUUCCAAAGAAGAAAUAAGUUUAAUGGAGAAAGUAAAGGAGAAUGCUACACCAACCAGGAAUACAAUUUCUAAAGUGACCAGUAAUUUGAGAAUAAGAAGUAGGCUUGCUAGGCCUAAACCAAAUCUUGAGAAGACUUUAGGGACCAACAGACUUGAUGAUUAUCAGAAAGUUUCCAGUUUGUGUGUAACCAAAGGGGCAGAAAUGGAAACUCAAAGAGAAACAGAGAAAAAUGCUUCCAAAGCAACAGAAUUGGAAAAUAAAAACCUCGGACCAGUUACAACAGCAGAGAAUAAGGAUCAGAGCAAAUUGGCAUGUGUACAUGGUAUCAAAGGGACCAGUAUUUCUUCAGAAGUAAACCUAACUGAAAGAAACGAAAAUCAAGAAGAGAGCUCUCAGGAGGUUCACAUGUUGUCAGUUGCUCCAGUUGCUUCCUCUGAGACAGGGCCCUGCACACUUGGUUUGGAUAGGGGUCUUGGUGAAAAUUCUGUUGAAGAGCCCCAGAUAAAGGACUCUAAAGGAGACAGUGUGCUUACACUUCCUGUGCCAGAGUAUACACCAACAAGUAUUCCAGAAGUCCAACAAGAGAAUAUAAUCAAUCCUCAAGACCUAACAGUGAAUCUAGUUGCUAAUGUACCUCAAGAUGGAGAAGAUGAACAAGCCUUUAUUUUAACUCUGGUGGAAAUCCCAACCAAUGCAGUAGAAGAAUUUACUGAUGCCACUGCACAGUUCAUGCCAAACCCUUUACUGCCAGCUCCCAUAUUGGUCAAAUCAGUGAAUACCGAAGAAAGGGGUGACAUGAGUAUUUGUUUACCAGCAACUUCAGUUGGUCAAGAUGCCAUGGGUUUAUCUAUUUCUGGAAGAGAUAAUUCUAAAAAGCCUCCUGAUAAUUUGGAUCUUGUAUCUAGGAAGAGAUUUCAAUGCAGGCUUGAUAAAAAUGACCACAUUCCUCCUGCCAAAAAACGUUCACUCACUUUAAGAGAUGACUGUCAAGAAUAUACCUCUGAGGUGCACUCAAAGGAAUUAACAAAUGUUUUUGAAGAAACAGGGGAGUCUCACAAGGGACAAGAUAUUUUUCUUACCUCAGGAAGCACACUGACAACUCCAGAACCUCAAAGACAGCAAGUUGAAGCAGCUUUUCAGAGUAGAGGAUCUAGAUCUCCUGAUGCAUGCAUAGACAAGAAUGUGCCUCAGUUACCUCAGGAUGAAAUGAUUGUGUCUGAUAAGGAAGAAAGAACUGAUGCUGCUCCUAAGUCUCAGCAAAUGGAUAGCAGAACAUCGUCUUCUAAAGCCUCACUAUCCAGACCUGGCAGAAGACCCCUGGGAUUUUUAUCUUUAAUAUGUUCAAAGAAUAGUUUGGAGUCUGAUGAACCUAUGCAAGUCCAUAGUAAGAAACGCUUAAAACCUCUUAUACCUGGAUUAAGAAAGAAAUUGAAAAGAUCUAAUCCAUUCAAUGAAAGCCAGGAAAAAAAUCGAGAGUCCUCUGAUCUGCUUCCAUCUCCAAGUGUUAUUACUACUCAAUCUGAGAAUAUUAGCAGCUCAGCAACUCAGAGACCCUUCUGACUUGUGGAAGCAAAAGGAAGCAGUGCUGACACCCACAAGAAUUUAAGGAACUGUAAAACUAGAAUUUGUUCACAUGUUUCAUUUCUAUGUCUCCUGAAGCUGUCCAAUGGUUUCUUGUGAUCAGCCCUUACUGAAAGAAGGAUAUAAAAGUGCCCAAAAGCGGGCCCCUCAAGGGGAGCCAACCACAGUCUCUGAAUAUUUCUUCAAUGAUAUCUUCAUUGAAGUGGAUGAAACAGAAUAAAACAAUCUUUUCUCUUUUUCUUUUUUAAAUUAGGUCUAGGAUUUCCAGAGUCAAUUACAUCAACAAAACAGUAUUUAGAGCAAAAUAUCACUGUCUUAUUUUUCUUUAGGUUGAUUUUGAAUAUUUAAUGAGCUUGAUUUGAAGCUUUUAUAAUAGUGGAAAACAUUUCUGAGGUUCCUUUCAUUCUGACUGAUUCAGCAUUUUGCAGAUAGCAAGCAAUUAAGACUGCUUUCUCAGACAGAAAUAACAACUCUUGUUUACAUUUUGACUCUUCCUGUGCUAAGCACACAUGGACAUUUGGGAAUGUUGUGGAUGUAUGUCUCUGUAUGAAUUGCAGUGCAGACAGAUUUGGGGGUUAAUUGUAUCAUAUUUAACAUUUAGCAACUUCUUUUGUGAAGAUUUUUUAUUUUUCGGGGGAGAUGAUGAAGGAUGAAGGCUUUUUCAUUUGCUUCUAAGUACAGUCAUGUAUCGCAUAACGAAGUUUAAGUCAAUGAUGGACCACAUAUAUUAAUUACAGUGGUCCCAUGCAAUUAAAAUGGAGAUAAAAAAUUCCUAUCAACUAGUGACAUUAUAGCCAUCAUAACACAGUGCAUUGCUUUUUUAUGUUUAGAUAUGUUUAGAUACACAAAUACUUACUAUUGUGUUACAACUGCCUACAGUACUCAGCAUAGUAACACAUUGUAGAGGUUUGUAGCCGAGGAGCAAUAGGCUAUACCACAUAGCCUCAGUCUGUACGGUGUGUAGCAGCCUGUACCAUCUCAGUGUUUGUAAGUACACUCUGCGUUGUUUCACACAAGAUCACCUAACAAGGCAAUUCUUAGAACAUGUAGUUAAGGGACGUGUGACUAUAUGUGAAAACAAAUUGUCAAACUUCACUUUAGUAUGGCAAAUGUUAAAGAACUUUUCUAUUAUCAGCUGUUUGUCUGACUGAAAAAUACAUAUUUUUCUAAUUCAUGGUGAUGUAACAUUGGUCCUAAUUGAAAAACUAGUAUUUAAACAUAAUUAUUUAUAAAGAUGACACAUCAAAGAGCUUAUUUAUUUUUAAAUUUUUUAUUUAAAAGGAUAUUCAGUUUUAGCUAUUUUUACCCCUCAGAUUGUAGAUAAAGAAGGCAUUAACAAAUUUAUGUUUGUCUCCUUUUUCUGUUUAAUUUUAAAGAUAUUUAAAAUGAUAUAACUAAAAAUGUUUGGCUGGUGUAUAUGUUUUGAAUGCCUUUUUUCCCUCAGUUUAGUAUAUUGACUUUGUACUGUGAAUUUUUCUGCUUUUCUUGGAUAAUCUCAGGAUUUUCAUGAGGAUAGGGGGAACUCAACUUUAUUUAUGAGACAAAAUUUCCAUACAAAGCUCAAUCUCCUUUAUACACCCACAGACAUAAUAUUAGUUUUUAAAAAGCCAAUUUCUUCAUAGUUUUUUCCCAUUAAAUUCUCAAGGAACACUUGGAUCUUUAAGCAUGGAACAUAAUCAUGAUGUUAAAAACAGAGAAAAUAAGGCUUUAUAAAGUUAAUGAUUAUCAUCAGUAUGAAUUUAAGGUUUGUUUUAAUUUCAAGAUUUGAUUUUUUAUACGUGUAAUUCUAUUAUCUACCCAAGCAGAUCUGUAGUGGUUCCAAUUAGACUUCUCAAACAGCAAAUUUAUCCUGAUUUUAUUUGAAAAGCCUCUUGGAUUGAUAGUAUAGUAGCUCAGGCAUUGGAAACUUUCUGCAAACUGUUUUGGGUUUGCAGGCCAGAUGGUCUCUGUGGCAGCUACUCAGCUCUGCAAUUUCAGUGUGAAAGAAGCCAUAGACAGUACUUGAAUGAAGGACUGUGGCUGGAUUGGCCUUUUAGUUUGACCCCCUACAUUAGGCCCCAAAUUUUCUUACCCUGAGGUGCUGAUAUCUGUAUGGAUGAGUUAUUUGUCACUAAAGUUAUGAGUUGUGCCUAAAAGUUAAAACUGUUGAUUGUAUUAUGUAAUGAUCAGUAUUUCAGUUGGGAAGAUAUUUUACAGUCUAGAUAAUUAUGUUUGUAUAUUGAAAAAAUGGUGGCCAGUUUUUAAGUUCCUUAAUAGAAGAGAAUUAUGUCUCAGCAGAUAUAACAGUAAUGCUAAUUUAUUGAAACUACUGCUGUUAGAGCACUUCUUAUUCAUUGUCUUUUAGUGAAAUUUAUGGCGUAACACUUUGUCAGAGAGGAGGCUAUAUAAUUCGGAGCGGAAAUUGUCUAUAAGUAGGCAUUUAUUUCAUGAUUGAUAUGUCACAGAAAUCAUGGUAGUAAAUCACAUUGCUAUUUGAAUACCCUGUUUUUGUAAGUUUUUAAAACUCAUAUUCUGAAAAGAUUUCAUUCUCUUAGUGUUAGCUUGGGAGUUAGAUUGCCAUGAUUAAACUAUUAUUUAUCCUUGUGUAAUAUUAAUUUUUAACUUUAACAUCUGUUUCUUUUUAAUCUAUAAUAAGCUAGUUUUACGGAAAAUGGAAUUUCUUACUAUAUAAAGAGUACAGAGACUCAUUGUAUUAGAGAAUCAAGUCAGCCAGCUAAAGUAUCCUACUGUUAAAUCCUUAAACCUAAUUUUGGAAAAGAGAAAGUUAAUCAAUGUAUUUACCUUACAUGUUGGAAAGAACUAUGUUAGGUCUGAUUCAUGUAAAGAAGAUGUUGCAAAGAAUUUAUUUCACAAAUUUUAAAGGAGAUAUGAGUAAAAGUUUUUAUCUUUUCUUGACUUUUUCUCCUGAACACGUAUGUCUUAGCAAGUGGUCAACAUGAGGAUUUGAACGCCUAAUUGUUGGUAAAUGGUUGAGGCAUGACAAAAAUAUUAAUAUCCACUGUUUACCAUCAUGUUAUUUGAAACAAAAGUGACCAUGUAUACUAUCUUGCUUGAAGAAGUCUUUGACAGAAAAAGCAAUAUCAUGUCAUUUAUAAAUUUUCUUGUUCUAAAGAAAGCAGUUAUAUAUAUAUAAAUUAUGUAAAUAAAAGUUAUUUUAUAUCA